AGGUCAUUAAUAUAUGCAAUACCUGGUCAAAAUAUAGACAUAGAAAUUAAAUUAACAUGUUAUAAAUUAUGCAUUUUAUAUAUACAUAAAACAAUUGGAAUCUCAACUUGUACCAACUCAAAAUAUCAUACUAUUUACUAAGUUUCUGUUAAAAUAAAUGUAUCAUCUUCUUCAAUUAGGUCUUUGGGAGGUUAUCUUCUGUAUUGUGAACAACAAAAACAAAAUACAAAAAGCAUCAUUCACCAACCAGUUAUACAAGGGUUAAGUCACAACCCACUGCAGUUGCCCACUGACAGUACACCUUGAGAUGUAUUCAGGAUGAAGAAACAGGAUAAGGCACUCUGUUCUUUGGCUAAACAGGCCCUUAGAUAGUUAGAUGUAUAUCUCAGGAAGAAUUUAAAUUACCCCAGAUUCUUGCGUCUUCCCAUACAUAGAAAAGCCCUAAAAUCAUUAACUUAAGAUAUCUGUUUACUGUGACUACUGUAGUAGUAAUCUUAUCUGUUAGGGGUGUUGGUGCGCAUGCGUGAGCUCCAGCUGAGUGUGGCUGGGGCUCUGCGACCCCGGCGCAAGUGCUGGUGCUUGGGGCCCAGGGAGGGCCGUCGCCAUGGCAGCGCCGGCCACGCGGUGAGGGGGCCGCCCUCCCUGCUGGUUGCUCCCGCAGCCUCGCUGCCUGCUGGUAGGAACCUUGAGAUUUCGCCCCCGACUGGGUGCCUGCUGAGUGCCUCACCAGCCAGACAAGCACCCUGUAAAGACUGCCAGGCAAUAAUGAAGGUUCUUUUACUGGAAGACCCUAAGGAGGACGACUGUGGCCAGGAUCCCUACAUCAGGGAAUUAGGAUUAUAUGGACUUGAAGCCACUUUGAUCCCUGUUUUAUCAUUUGAGUUUUUGUCUCUUCCCGGUUUUUCGGAGAAGCUGUCUCACCCUGAAGGUUACGGGGGCCUCAUUUUUACCAGCCCCAGAGCAGUGGAAGCAGUGUAAAUGUGUUUGGAGAAAGACAAUAAAACCGAAGUCUGGAGAAAGUCUCUGAAAGAAAAAUGGAAUGCUAAGUCAGUGUAUGUGGUGGGAAAUGCUACUGCUUCUCUAGUGAAUAAAAUUGGCCUGCAUACAGAAGGAGAAAACUGUGGAAAUGCAGAAAAGCUUGCAGAGUGCAUUUGUUCUAGGGAGUCGUCAGCACUGCCUCUUCUGUUUCCCUGUGGAACCCUCAAAAGAGAAAUCCUGCCGAAAAUGCUCAAGGACAAAGGGAUUCCCGGGGAGAGCUUAACCGUCUACCAGAUGAUCCCACACCCAGGAAUCCAGGGGAACAUCAACAGCUACUAUUCCCAGCAGGGCAUUCCAGCCAGCAUCACGUUUUUCAGACCCUCUGGCGUGACACACAGUCUCAAGCAUAUUCAAGAGUUAUCUGGUGACAACAUUGACCAGAUUAAGGUGCGGCUCACAGCACCCCUGGGGGGUCAGGACUGUCUCAGUUGUAUAGACACUUACGGCCCCUCCCUCCACCCCGGUUGGCACGCUCACUCCGGUCGGUGCCCAGGGACGGAGCACGGGCAUCAGCACUGGGCUGUCCGGGGCACUGCUCUGGGACACUGUCUGCAGCCUGGGUCCAGCCCUGCAGGAAGGCUCCAUUGGCCCAGCCAGACCCGUGGUGGUGAGUCCGAGAGCGGAGCUCUCCAGACGCCCUCUCUUCUGUGA